GGGUAAAGGCCCGAAAAGAUCCACUGCAAUAACUUUAAACCGCUGAGCUGGAACUGGAGUCUGGAGUAGUCCCGCUCGCUUAAAGUUAGACGGCUGGUACCGCUGGCACUCUAUACA